rnacentral:rRNA from 1 species
GUGGUCAGGUAGAGAAUACCAAGGCGCUUGAGAGAACUCGGGUGAAGGAACUAGGCAAAAUGGUGCCGUAACUUCGGGAGAAGGCACGCUGAUAUGUAGGUGAAGUCCCUCGCGGAUGGAGCUGAAAUCAGUCGAAGAUACCAGCUGGCUGCAACUGUUUAUUAAAAACACAGCACUGUGCAAACACGAAAGUGGACGUAUACGGUGUGACGCCUGCCCGGUGCCGGAAGGUUAAUUGAUGGGGUCAGCGCAAGCGAAGCUCUUGAUCGAAGCCCCGGUAAACGGCGGCCGUAACUAUAACGGUCCUAAGGUAGCGAAAUUCCUUGUCGGGUAAGUUCCGACCUGCACGAAUGGCGUAAUGAUGGCCAGGCUGUCUCCACCCGAGACUCAGUGAAAUUGAACUCGCUGUGAAGAUGCAGUGUACCCGCGGCAAGACGGAAAGACCCCGUGAACCUUUACUAUAGCUUGACACUGAACAUUGAGCCUUGAUGUGUAGGAUAGGUGGGAGGCUUUGAAGUGUGGACGCCAGUCUGCAUGGAGCCGACCUUGAAAUACCACCCUUUAAUGUUUGAUGUUCUAACGUGGACCCGUGAUCCGGGUUGCGGACAGUGUCUGGUGGGUAGUUUGACUGGGGCGGUCUCCUCCUAAAGAGUAACGGAGGAGCACGAAGGUUGGCUAAUCCUGGUCGGACAUCAGGAGGUUAGUGCAAUGGCAUAAGCCAGCUUGACUGCGAGCGUGACGGCGCGAGCAGGUGCGAAAGCAGGUCAUAGUGAUCCGGUGGUUCUGAAUGGAAGGGCCAUCGCUCAACGGAUAAAAGGUACUCCGGGGAUAACAGGCUGAUACCGCCCAAGAGUUCAUAUCGACGGCGGUGUUUGGCACCUCGAUGUCGGCUCAUCACAUCCUGGGGCUGAAGUAGGUCCCAAGGGUAUGGCUGUUCGCCAUUUAAAGUGGUACGCGAGCUGGGUUUAGAACGUCGUGAGACAGUUCGGUCCCUAUCUGCCGUGGGCGCUGGAGAACUGAGGGGGGCUGCUCCUAGUACGAGAGGACCGGAGUGGACGCAUCACUGGUGUUCGGGUUGUCAUGCCAAUGGCACUGCCCGGUAGCUAAAUGCGGAAGAGAUAAGUGCUGAAAGCAUCUAAGCACGAAACUUGCCCCGAGAUGAGUUCUCCCUGACCCUUUAAGGGUCCUGAAGGAACGUUGAAGACGACGACGUUGAUAGGCCGGGUGUGUAAGCGCAGCGAUGCGUUGAGCUAACCGGUACUAAUGAACCGUGAGGCUUAACCUU